AUUGAACGCUGGCGGCAGGCCUAACACAUGCAAGUCGAACGGUAACAGGAAGCAGCUUGCUGCUUCGCUGACGAGUGGCGGACGGGUGAGUAAUGUCCGGGAAGCUGCCUGAUGGAGGGGGAUAACUACUGGAAACGGUAGCUAAUGCCGCAUAAUGUCGCAAGACCAAAGAGGGGGACCUUCGGGCCUCUUGCCAUCGGAUGUGCCCAGAUGGGGUUAUCUUGAUGGGGGGGUAACGGCCCACCAAGGGGACGAUCCCUAGCUGGUCUGAGAGGAUGUCCAGCCCCACUGGAAAUGGGAAACGGUCCAGACUCCUACGGGAGGCAGCAGGGGGGAAUAUUGGACAAUGGGGGCAAGCCUGAUCCAGCCAUGCCGGGUGGGUGAAAAAGGCCUUCGGGUUUUAAAGCCCUUUUGGGGGGGAAGAAAGGAAGAAAGUUAAAACCCUGGUCUUCUGACGGUACCCAAAGAAAAAGCACCGGGUAACUUCGUG
rnacentral:rRNA from 1 species